rnacentral:rRNA from 2 species
UUUUAUUGAAAACUCCGGUGGAUAGAGAUGGGCACGCGCAAGAUUAGAUAGUUGGUGAGGUAACGGCUCACCAAGUCUGCGAUCUUUAGGGGGCCUGAGAGGGUGAUCCCCCACACUGGUACUGAGACACGGACCAGACUCCUACGGGAGGCAGCAGUGAGGAAUAUUGGACAAUGGGUUAGCGCCUGAUCCAGCCAUCCCGCGUGAAGGACGACGGCCCUAUGGGUUGUAAACUUCUUUUGUAUAGGGAUAAACCUACUCUCGUGAGAGUAGCUGAAGGUACUAUACGAAUAAGCACCGGCUAACUCCG